AUUGAACGCUGGCGGCAUGCCUUACACAUGCAAGUCGAACGGCAGCACGGGAGCAAUCCUGGUGGCGAGUGGCGAACGGGUGAGUAAUAUAUCGGAACGUGCCCAGUCGUGGGGAUAACGUAGCGAAAGCUACGCUAAUACCGCAUACGAUCUACGGAUGAAAGCGGGGGGAUCGCAAGACCUCGCGCGAUUGGAGCGGCCGAUAUCAGAUUAGGUAGUUGGUGAGGUAAAGGCUCACCAAGCCGACGAUCUGUAGCUGGUCUGAGAGGACGACCAGCCACACUGGGACUGAGACACGGCCCAGACUCCUACGGGAGGCAGCAGUGGGGAAUUUUGGACAAUGGGCGCAAGCCUGAUCCAGCAAUGCCGCGUGCAGGAUGAAGGCCUUCGGGUU
rnacentral:rRNA from 1 species